rnacentral:rRNA from 1 species
CGGCGGACGGGUGAGUAACGCGUGGGUAACCUGCCUCAUACAGGGGGAUAACAGUUAGAAAUGACUGCUAAUACCGCAUAAGACCACAGCACCGCAUGGUGCGGGGGUAAGAACUCCGGUGGUAUGAGAUGGACCCGCGUCUGAUUAGCUAGUUGGUAAGGUAACGGCUUACCAAGGCGACGAUCAGUAGCCGACCUGAGAGGGUGACCGGCCACAUUGGGACUGAGACACGGCCCAA